rnacentral:tRNA from 1 species
UUAACUUGUGUGGCAGAUUAGUGCAUUGGACUUAGAAUCUAAAAAUAGUAUUAACUUUCAA